rnacentral:tRNA from 1 species
GGAGAGAUGUCCGAGUGGUUGAAGGAGGCGGUCUUGAAAACCGUUGUCCCCUUACGGGGACCGGGGGUUCGAAUCCCUCUCUCUCCGCAA